GCCCAUUUCUGUUACCCAAAUUUCUCUGAUCUCUUUCUUCUCCCCCCAAAACCCUAAUCGCCUGAACCCUCUCAGCCAGUCCUUUGUAAAGCAUUUCUCAGUGACCGGCGAUAUAUUGCACAUUAAAAUCUACAUGUAUGUUCAGAUUGUCACCAACCUGCAAAGGUAGGCAUCUUUCCAAAUUUCGGCCAUUGAUUCAAGCCCGUUGGUCAUUCUUUCCAGCAGCUACAACUUCUCUCCAAUUCACAUCAGAUGGCUUCAAAAAUGAGAACAAAGACAUUGAUUUCAAUCUCUUAUUCUUAUCCUGCACAAAAGUGCACCUUGCAGAGCGUCUUCAUGCCCUUCUUGUGGUCUCAGGGAAAGUUCAAGACGUCGUUCUCUCCACCAGGCUUGUCAAUCUUUAUGCAAGUCUUGGUGAUGCCUCAUUUGCUCAGCGCACUUUUAAUCAGAUUCCAAAAAAGAAUAUUUUUACCUGGAAUUCAAUGUUAUCUGCUUAUGCUCGCAUUGGACGUUUCCGUGAAGCUGUGAAUUGUUUUUAUCAGUUUUUGUUGACCUCUGGUAUUCGGCCUGAUUCCUACACUUUUCCGCCUGUGUUAAAAGCUUGUGGAAAUCUAGUUGAUGGGAAGAAGAUGCAUUGCUGGGUUCUAAAGCUGGGCUUUGAGUGGGAUGUCUUUGUGGCUGCUUCUUUGGUCCAUAUGUAUUCCCGGUUUGGCUUCUUAUGUGUUGCGCGUAAAUUGUUCAAUAAUAUGCCGGUUCGAGAUAUGGGCUCUUGGAAUGCAAUGAUUUCUGGGUUUUGUCAAAAUGGAAAUGCUGCAGAGGCAUUGGACCUCUUGGAUGAGAUGAGAUUGGAGGGGGUAAAGAUGGAUCCAGUAACUGUCUCAAGUCUACUUCCUGUUUGUGCACUAUCUGAUGAUAUCUUGAUUGGGAUGCUGAUUCAUUUAUAUGUCAUAAAGCAUGGACUGGAGUUCGAUGUGUUUGUGUCCAAUGCCUUGAUUAACAUGUAUGCCAAAUUUGGUCGCUUGGGGCAUGCGCAAAGGAUUUUUGAUGAGAUGGAGGUGAGAGAUUUGGUUUCAUGGAACUCAAUAAUUGCUGCCUGUGAGCAGAAUAAUGAUCCAAUUACUGCACUUGGACUUUUUAAUAAGAUGCAUUUAAUAGGGAUUCGGCCUGAUUUGUUGACAGGAGUGAGUUUGGCUUCUAUUUUUGCUCAAUUAUGUGAUCGCCAAAAUAGUAGGUCUGUUCAUGGAUUCAUUGUCAGGAGAGGUUGGCUUAUGGAAGAUGUUGUCAUUGGAAAUGCAGUUGUGGACAUGUAUGCGAAAUUAGGCGCUAUAGAUUCUGCUCGUACAGUUUUUGAAGGACUUCCUGUCAAAGAUGUGAUCUCGUGGAAUACUUUAAUCACAGGUUAUGCUCAAAAUGGUCUUGCAAGCGAAGCAAUUGAAGUGUACAGUAAGAUGGAGGAGCACAAAGAGAUAAUUCCUAACCAAGGGACUUGGGUAAGCAUUCUACCAGCGUAUUCCCAUGUAGGAGCCUUGCAACAAGGGAUGAGAAUUCAUGGACGGGUGAUUAAGAACAGUGUCUACUUGGAUGUCUUUGUCGGUACCUGCCUCAUUGACUUGUAUGGAAAAUGUGGGAGAUUAGAUGAAGCAAUGUCCUUAUUCUAUCAAGUGCCCAGGAAGAGUUCAGUUUCUUGGAAUGCCGUAAUAUCCUGUCAUGGCAUUCAUGGGCAUGGUGAGAAAGCUCUGAAGCUAUUUAACGAAAUGCUAGAUGAGGGGGUGAAGCCAGAUCAUGUAACCUUUGUAUCUUUAUUGUCAGCUUGUAGUCAUUCAGGUUUGGUUGAUGAGGGUCAAUGGUGCUUUCAUGUGAUGCAAGACGAAUAUGGGAUCAAGCCUAGUUUGAAGCACUAUGGCUGCAUGGUAGAUUUGCUUGGUAGAGCUGGACGUCUAGAAAUGGCAUAUAAUUUUAUAAAAAAUAUGCCUGUACAGCCUGAUGCUUCUGUCUGGGGUGCUCUUCUUGGUGCUUGUAGAAUACAUGGAAAUUUUGAGUUGGGUUCAUUUGCUUCAGAUCGUUUGUUUGAAGUUGAUUCGGAGAAUGUUGGCUACUAUGUUUUGUUAUCUAAUAUUUACGCAAAUAUUGGGAAAUGGGAGGGAGUGGAUAAAGUGAGAUCAUUGGCCAGAGAUAGGGGAUUAAAGAAGACACCUGGGUGGAGCUCAAUCGAAGUGAACAAUAAAGUCGAUGUCUUCUAUACUGGAAACCAAACCCAUCCAAAAUGCGAGGAAAUAUACAAGGAGCUGAAGGUUCUGACUGCAAAAAUGAAGAGCCUUGGUUAUGUUCCCGACUAUAGCUUUGUGUUGCAGGAUGUUGAGGAUGAUGAGAAGGAGCAUAUCCUCAUAAGUCAUAGUGAGAGACUGGCAAUUGUAUUCGGAAUUAUUAGCACCCCUCCCAAAAGUACCAUUCGGAUUUUCAAGAACUUGCGGGUUUGCGGUGACUGCCACGAGGCAACUAAAUUCAUAUCUAGGAUUACUGAGAGGGAGAUCAUCGUGAGGGAUUCGAACCGUUUCCAUCACUUCAAGGAUGGAAUUUGCUCUUGUGGCGAUUAUUGGUGACAUGAAUUGCAGGUAUUGUUGAAAGUUUGAUACUUAGGAUUCAAACGCUUCACACAUGGAUGAAGACUGACCAUAUGUGCAAGAAAAACUUAAAAAGCUUUUGAUUUUCAGGGGUGUUGUGCCAAAGGAAAGCCUGAAGCAAGCUGGGAGUACCACAUUAGUAACCCGAUUUGUUGUGCUUUUACUUUUCAUGCAAUCGAAGUGUUGAAGAAGACUUAUCAAAAAGAGUGUUGAAGAAGCAAAGAUUGCCAACCAGGUGCUUAUCUGGAUAAGCCACCAAAGCCCUUAAACCUACCUGUCUGUCUAACUGUCUGCAUUCAUAUAUUUGGAAUCGUUGAAUAUCUGUCAAGCCAGCUAGAAAGAAUAUAACCCUAGACUUUGGAGUCCACCUUGCUGAUUCCAAAUUCCAAUCGCCAGCCUGGGACCCAGUCACCACUUCAACAUCUUUGCAAGGACGAGCCAAGAAGAAAGAUUAAUGCCACUAUUCACUCAUUUAUUA